rnacentral:lncRNA from 10 species
GCGAGAACUGGCGCUCCCUACGGGAGGAACAGGAGGAGGAGGAGGAGGGCAGCUGGAGGCUCGGAGCAGGGCCCCGGCGAGACGGCGACCGCUGGCGCUCCGCCAGCCCUGAUGGUGGUCCCCGCUCUGCUGGCUGGCGGGAACAUGGGGAACGGCGGCGCAAGUUUGAAUUUGAUUUGCGAGGGGAUCGAGGAGGGUGUGGUGAAGAGGAGGGGCGGGGAGGGGGAGGCAGCUCUCACCUGCGGCGGUGCCGAGCGCCUGAAGGCUUUGAGGAGGACAAGGAUGGGCUCCCAGAGUGGUGCCUGGACGAUGAGGAUGAAGAAAUGGGCACCUUUGAUGCCUCUGGGGCCUUCUUGCCUCUCAAGGUAUCUGUGAGGAGGCGAGGGUGGGAACCUGCCCUUCCGGGGUCCUCUUCCUCCCCACCCACCCCAGCUGUUCUCUGCUCCCCACCCCGGCCCCAUGCAGAAGGGCCCCAAGGAGCCCAUUCCUGAGGAGCAGGAGCUGGACUUCCAAGGGUUGGAGGAGGAGGAGGAACCUUCCGAAGGGCUAGAGGAGGAAGGGCCUGAGGCAGGUGGGAAAGAGCUGACCCCACUGCCUCCUCAGGAGGAGAAGUCCAGCUCCCCAUCCCCACUGCCCACCCUGGGCCCACUCUGGGG